rnacentral:SRP_RNA from 1 species
ACUGGUGUGGUGGCGGGUGCCUGUAAUCCCAGCUGGGAGGCUGAGGCAGGAGAAUCCCUUGAACCCGGGAGGUGGAGGUUGCAGUGAGCUGAGAUUGCGCCACUGCACUCCAGCCUGGGUGACAGAGGGAGAGUCCUUCUNNNNNNNNNNGAGAAGGACUCUCCCUCUGUCACCCAGGCUGGAGUGCAGUGGCGCAAUCUCAGCUCACUGCAACCUCCACCUCCCGGGUUCAAGGGAUUCUCCUGCCUCAG